ensembl:rRNA 5S_rRNA 5S ribosomal RNA
GUCUAUGGCUAUACCACCCUGAACACACCUGAUCUCGUCUGAUCUGGGAAGCAGGGUCGGGCCUGGUUAGUACUUGGAUGGGAGACAAAGUAAUGCUCUGGUUCUCUACACC